GGAAUCAGGGGGGACCCCCAAACCCCAUGAGGGACCCCCAAACCCCAUGGGGACCCCCAAACCCCAUGAGGGACCCCAAAACCCCGCAGGGGACCCCAAACCCCACCGGGGACCCCCAAACCCCACCGGGGACCCCAAAACCCCACAGGGCACCCCCAAAACCCACAGGGCACCCCAAAACCCCACUGGGGACCCCCAAACCCCAGGGGGCAAACCCGGAAUUAGGGGGGCCCCCCAAACCCCACCGGGGACCCCCAAACCCCACAGGGGAGCCCCAAACCCCACCAGGCACCCCGAAACCCCACAGGGCACCCCCAAACCCCACUGGGGACCCCAAAACCCCACAGGGGACCCCCAAACCCCACCGGGGACCCCCAAACCCCACCGGGGACCCCAAAACCCCACAGGGCACCCCCAAACCCCCAGGGGGCAAACCCGGAAUCAGGGGGGACCCCCAAACCCCCAGGGAGAGGGGGGAGGGGAAAAAGACCCCAAGAAAGGGACCCGAAAUGACUGGGGGAGACCCCAAAACCCCCACAGGGGGACCCCAAAACCCCCAGGGGGCAAACCCGGAAUUAGGGGGGACCCCGAACCCCGGGGGGGUAACUUGGAAUUGGAGGGACCCCAAAAUCCGACAGGGGACCCCAAAACCCUACAGGGGACCCCAAAACCCCCGGGGGGGAACUUGGAAUUGGGGGGACCCCGAAACCCCCAGGAAGAGGGGGGAGGGGAAAAAGACCCCAAGAAAGGGACCCGAAUUGACGGGGAGAGACCCCAAAACCCACGGGGGGAUCCCAAAACCUCCACAAGGGGAACUCAGAAUCGGGGGGACCCCAAAACUCCCAGGGAAAGCCCAAAAACCCCACAGGGGGACCCCAAAAAACCCACGAGGGGAACCCGGAAUUGGGCGGACCCCAAAACCCUCAGGGGGACCCCAAAACUGCCUCAGAAAGGACCCAGAGGCAGGGGGACCCCAAAACCCCAUGGAGGAACCCCCAAAAUCUCGGGGGAAACCAAAAACCACCCAGGGAACCC
rnacentral:lncRNA from 1 species